rnacentral:rRNA from 1 species
CAGUAGCCGCGGGAAUACGUAGGUGGCAAGCGUUGUCCGGAAUUAUUGGGCGUAAAGGGCUCGCAGGCGGUUUCUUAAGUCUGAUGUGAAAGCCCCCGGCUCAACCGGGGAGGGUCAUUGGAAACUGGGAAACUUGAGUGCAGAAGAGGAGAGUGGAAUUCCACGUGUAGCGGUGAAAUGCGUAGAGACGUGGAGGAACACCAGUGGCGAAGGCGACUCUCUGGUCUGUAACUGACGCUGAGGAGCGAAAGCGUGGGGAGCGAACAGGAUUAGAUACCCGGGUAGUCCCUGUCUCUUAUAA